rnacentral:rRNA from 1 species
UACGUAGGUGACAAGCGUUGUCCGGAUUUACUGGGCGUAAAGAGCGCGCAGGCGGUCGAUCAAGUCGAGUGUGAAAGCCCCCGGCUCAACUGGGGAGGGUCAUUCGAUACUGAUCGACUCGAAGGCAGGAGAGGGUAGUGGAAUUCCGAGUGUAGAGGUGAAAUUCGUAGAUAUUCGGAAGAACACCAGUGGCGAAGGCGACUUACUGGACACAUAUUGACGCUGAGGUGCGAAAGCGUGGGGAGCAAACAGG